AUGCUUCCUUCAGCAGCACAUAUACUAAAAUUGCAAUGAUACGGAGAUUAGCAUAGCCCCGAGCAAGGAUGAUACGUGAAUUCGUGAAGCCUUCCAUAUAUCU
ensembl:snRNA U6 U6 spliceosomal RNA